CCCCUUCCCCUCCUCCCCACCCCUUUAUCUCAACUUCACCCCCUUUCCUCCUACACCCCUCCCGUGUACCCACCCCCUGCCCUUUGUCCUCCUUCCUCCUCUUCCCCACGUCCCACUCUCCUUUCCACCUCCUUGUAAUCCCUCUUUCUCCUCCGCCCCGCCCCCCUUUAGUCUCCCACCUCCCCUACAGCCUCCUGCCCCUGCCUCCUCACAGCCCCCUACUUACCCUACUGCCUCCCUCCUUGGGCCCCUUCCUCCCCAAAGGCCCCUCUGUUUUCUCCCAUUCCAGCCCCUGACCAGGCCCUGCCCCUCUGCUGGGGUCGGGCCCCACACAAUAAGCUUCCUGGGAGCCCUCAUUGCCUUCCUGGUCAACCCGGCCAAAGGCCCCCCCAGCAGCUGCAGCCCUGGAGAUGACAAAACUGAGACACAAAAGAUGAAUCAGCUUGGCCGUGUUCACAGAGCCCGAGUGUGGAAAAGCCAGAAUCCAGACCCAGACCCUGUCUGCAGCGUCGCGGCUCCUCUUGCUCCUCACCAGCCACUGCCUCUCAGCUUAGUGCUCUUCCACCCGGCUCUUCUUUCUUAAAAGUGAGUUUCAUCUUUUUUGUUUGUUUGUUUUUGUUUUUUCUGAAAGUAAGCAUGAAGCAUUUCAGGUGCUUGGAGAUUUUCAGUUUUUAAAAUUCUGAUAGUCUCAUUUUUACUUCUCUGGGUGUUUCCCCCGCCAGCUGUUGCUCUCCUGAAAACUGUCUCGCUCGUUUUUGCCGGUUCCCAGUGCUGUGCGUCCUCAUCGCAUUCUUUCGUGCUCCAGGGCCCUGCCUACACACAUAUGUGCUGCCCUCCUUCCCUCCUGCCUCCUGCCUCUGUGUUGCCCUGGGGCUAACAGCUAACUUGCCAAACAGAAUCGUAAGGAGAGGUGUGUGGCUGAUGUGGCAUCACGCAGGCUUGGUUCCCUGGAGGCCGCUUGUUAUUGGGAUAAGCAGUAAGAAAUAGUGGCUGAGAUUGUGAGUAGGGGAGUAGAGGCCUCCACAGGCUGAGAUUGUGAGUAGGGGAGUAGAGGCCUCCACAGACUAAAAGAAAUGUCAGAAUAAAAUAAUAAUAUAGCUAAUAUUCAUGAAUACUUACUAAAUGCAAAGCUUUGUGCUAAGUAUUUUCCAGGAAUUAUUUCAGUUAAGUGACACAAUAACCCUAUGACAUUGAUAUCAUCAGCAUUUGACAGAAAACUCAGGGUCAUGUAAGGUUUAGAGCUGAGAUUCUGGUGCACUUAACCAGUAUGCUCACUGCAAAUGAAGAACGGUGUUAUAGUUUCUGUGUUUAUCUCCAGAAUGGAAAUAUCUUUGUCAUUUGGCAAACUAUAAAAGUAAUAGGUGUUCAUUGUGAAACAUGAAAACAACACAGAAGUAUAUAUAAUAAAAUAUAUAAGUCUCUCCCAUAA